GGAAGCCCUUCGGGGUGGAAUUUUUAUAUCUUAGCGGCGGACGGGUGCGUAACACGUGGGUAACCUGCCCCUAUCACUGGGAUAACACACUGAAAAGUGUGCUAAUACCAGAUAAUAUAAGCUUUUGGCAUCAUUAGCUUAUCAAAGAAUUUCGGAUAGGGAUGGGCCCGCGUCUGAUUAGCUAGUUGGUGAGGUAACGGCUCACCAAGGCAACGAUCAGUAGCCGACCUGAGAGGGUGAUCGGCCACACUGGAACUGAGACACGGUCCAGACUCCUACGGGAGGCAGCAGUGGGGAAUAUUGCACAAUGGGCGAAAGCCUGAUGCAGCAACGCCGCGUGAGCGAUGAAGGCCUUCGGGUCGUAAAGCUCUGUCCUAUGGGAAGAUAAUGACGGUACCAUAGGAGGAAGCCCCGGCUAACUACGUGCCAGCAGCCGCGGUAAUACGUAGGGGGCAAGCGUUAUCCGGAAUUACU
rnacentral:rRNA from 1 species